UACAGAGGUCUCAAGCGUUGUUCGGAUUCAUUGGGCGUAAAGGGUGCGUAGGUGGCGCUGUAAGUCGGGUGUGAAAUUUCGAGGCUUAACCUCGAAACUGCAUUCGAUACUGCGGUGCUUGAGGACUGGAGAGGAGACUGGAAUUCAUGGUGUAGCAGUGAAAUGCGUAGAGAUCAUGAGGAAGACCAGUGGCGAAGGCGGGUCUCUGGACAGUUCCUGACACUGAGGCACGAAGGCCAGGGGAGCAAACAGG
rnacentral:rRNA from 1 species